CCUACGGGGGGCUGCAGUGAGGAAUCUUGCGCAAUGGGCGAAAGCCUGACGCAGCGACGCCGCGUGACUGAUGAAGUCUUUCGGGAUGUAAAGGUCUUUUCUGAAGGAAGAACACAAUGACGGUACUUCAGGAAUAAGCCCCGGCUAACUACGUGCCAGCAGCCGCGGUAAUACGUAGGGGGCGAGCGUUGUCCGAAUUCACUGGGCGUAAAGCGCGCGUAGGCGGACUAUUAAGUUGAUGGUGAAAUCCCGGGGCUCAACCUCGGAACUGCCUUCAAAACUGAUAGUCUUGAGGUUUGGAGAGGGAACUGGAAUUCCAGGUGUAGCGGUGAAAUGCGUAGAUAUCUGGAGGAACACCCAUGGCGAAGGCAGGUUCCUGGCCAUAUCCUGACGCUGAGGUGCGAAAGCUAGGGUAGCGAACGGGAUUAGAUACCCCGGUAGUC
rnacentral:rRNA from 1 species